GCUGGGCAUGGUGGUGUUUGCCCAUAAUCCCAGCUUCUCAGGAGGCUAAGGCAGGAGGAUCGCUUGAGCCUGGGAGAUCAAGGCUGCAGUGAGCCAUGAUGGCGCCACUGCACUCCAGCCUGGGCGACAGAGCGAGACCCUGUCUCAA
rnacentral:SRP_RNA from 1 species